rnacentral:rRNA from 1 species
GCCCACAAAGACUAUAACUGAAGCAAGAAAUUCUGUCUGAUCUUGGAAGCUAAGGGCCAGGCCUAGUUAAUACUUGGAUGGGCGACCACCAAGGAAUACCAGGUACUGUAGGCU